CAGGGUCCUACGGGGGGCAGCAGUGGGGAAUUGUUCGCAAUGGGCGCAAGCCGGAGGACGCAACGCCGCGUGGAGGAUGAAGAUCUUCGGGUCGUAAACUCCUUUCGAUCGAGACGAAUUCCUCCCGGGUGAACAAUCCCGGGGGUUGACGGUACCGAGAGAAGAAGCCCCGGCUAACUCCGUGCCAGCAGCCGCGGUAAUACGGGGGGGGCAAGCGUUGUUCGGAAUUACUGGGCGUAAAGGGCUCGUAGGCGGCCAACUAAGUCAGACGUGAAAUCCCUCGGCUUAACCGGGGAACUGCGUCUGAUACUGGAUGGCUCGAGUUUGGGAGAGGGAUGCGGAAUUCCAGGUGUAGCGGUGAAAUGCGUAGAUAUCUGGAGGAACACCGGUGGCGAAGGCGGCAUCCUGGACCAACACUGACGCUGAGAAGCGAAAGCCAGGGGAGCAAACGGGAUUAGAUACCCCGGUAGUCCUGGCCCUAACCGAUGAAAGCCCAAUGUGACGGGUAUCGAUCCGGGUCGUCCCGAAGCUCACGCAUUUUUUC
rnacentral:rRNA from 1 species